AUGACUAUCCUAAGUUGGAACUACCGGGGGGUGGGGAACUCCCAGACAGUUCGAGGCCUAGCGACUAUGAUCUAGUCGCAUUCCUCUAGCCUAGUUUUCCUUUGCGAAACUAGGCAAAGUAAGGAUAAGAUGAAAAGCUAAUGAGAUAGGUUUGGUCUGCGAGGUUUUGAAGGUGUUAGUAGUGAUGGUAAUAGUGGGGGGCUUGCUCUCUAUUGGCAUGAAAAUUGGACAGUGUAUAUUAGGCUUGCAAAUUCAAGAUGCAUUGAUGCACACAUCCAAGCUCCUGGAGAGACUAAAUGGCACCUGACAUGCGUGUAUGGAGAGCCCCGUGUUGAGAAUGGACACUUCAUGUGGUCCUUGAUGGAAGAUAUAGCUACCCAGAAUGAUCUUCCUUGGUUGGCUGUUGGAGAUUUUAAUGAACCAUUGUGGGAUUUUGAACAUUUUUCCAACACGCCGUGUGCGCCGGCCCAAAUGCUUGCUUCUCGGGAUUCACCGGAAGUGUGUGAGCUAGCUGAUUUGGGUUUUGCUGGAAGGCCAUAUACUUUUGAUAAUAAGAGGAGUGGUGCAGCAAAUGUUAAAGUACGGUUAGAUCGCGGAGUUGCGAAUCUGGACUUGAGGUACAUGUUUGAAAGUGCAACUAAUCCCCGGGUGGUUUUGGUAAUUCAUAACAACAUAUAG
rnacentral:rRNA from 1 species